AGAAAACUUUGCAAUGUGCGAAAGCACGACAAGGUUAAUCCGAGUGGUUUCUGCUAAAGAAACCUUUUGUCAGUCCUAGAAACACUAACGAAUAAGGGGUGGGCAAGUUCUGGUGUCAGCCGCCGCGGUAAAACCAGCACCUCGAGUGGUCAGGAUGAUUAUUGGGCCUAAAGCAUCCGUAGCUCGUUUUGUAAGUUUUCGGUUAAAUCCAUGCGCUUAACGUAUGGGCUGCCGGGAAUACUGCAUAACUAGGAAGUGGGGGAGGUAGACGGUACUCGGUAGGAAGGGGUAAAAUCCUUUGAUCUAUUGAUGACCACCUGUGGCGAAGGCGGUCUACCAGAACACGUUCGACGGUGAGGGAUGAAAGCUGGGGGAGCAAACCGGAUUAGAUACCCGGGUAGUCCCAGCUGUAAACUAUGCAAACUCAGUGAUGCAUUGGCUUGUGGCCAAUGCAGUGCUGCAGGGAAGCCGUUAAGUUUGCCGCCUGGGAAGUACGUACGCAAGUAUGAAACUUAAAGGAAUUGGCGGGGGAGCACCACAAGGGGUGAAGCCUGCGGUUCAAUUGGAGUCAACGCCAGAAAUCUUACCCGGAGAGACAGCAGAAUGAAGGUCAAGCUGAAGACUUUACCAGACAAGCUGAGAGGUGGUGCAUGGCCGUCGCCAGCUCGUGCCGUGAGAUGUCCUGUUAAGUCAGGUAACGAGCGAGAUCCCUGCCUCUAGUUGCCACCAUUACUCUCAGGAGUAGUGGGGCGAAUUAGCGGGACCGCCGCAGUUAAUGCGGAGGAAGGAGGGGGCCACGGCAGGUCAGUAUGCCCCGAAACUCUGGGGCCACACGCGGGCUGCAAUGGUAGUGACAAUUGGUUCCGAAUCCGAAAGGAGGAGGUAAUCCUCAAACGCUACCACAGUUAUGACUGAGGGCUGCAACUCGCCCUCACGAAUAUGGAAUCCCUAGUAACUGCGCGUCAUUAUCGCGCGGUGAAUACGUCCCUGCUCC
rnacentral:rRNA from 1 species